GGAUGUAAGGGCGAUCUGGCUGUGGCAUCUGUCACACCAUUUAUCACCAGGGUUGAUUCAGCUGAUCUGGAUGGCUAGGUGGGUGUCCCCUUCUUCCCUCCCUCUUCCAUGUGUGUCCCUCCCGGAGCUGCGUGCUGCGUGGAAGAGGAUGACCUGCCCCGAAAAGAGGAGGAGCGGUCUUCAGUGAAGGGGUGUAAGAAUAGCUGCGCUCCCCUGCUAGAACCUCCAAACAAGCUCUCAAGAAAAUAGAAUAUACUCUUGCUCCUCAUUGCAAUUAAUGAUAUUUUUGGAGUCAGUAUUGAAUUCAAAGCUGAUUUUUUUCAAAGAUAUAUUUUAUGGAAUAAUAU
rnacentral:snRNA from 1 species